rnacentral:rRNA from 1 species
GACGAACGCUGGCGGCGUGCUUAACACAUGCCAGUCGAACGGAAAGGCCCUGCUUUUGUGGGGUGCUCGAGUGGCGAACGGGUGAGUAACACGUGAGUAACCUGCCCUUGACUUUGGGAUAACUUCAGGCAACUGGGGCUAAUACCGGAUAGGAGCUCCUGCUGCAUGGUGGGGGUUGGAACGUUUCGGCGGUUGGGGAUGGACUGGCGGCUUAUCAGCUGGUUGGUGGGGUAGUGGCUUACCAAGGCUUUGACGGGUAGCCGGCCUGAGAGGGUGACCGGCGACAUUGGGACUGAGAGACGGCCCAGACUCCUACGGGAGGCAGCAGGGGGGAAUAUUGCACAAUGGGCGGAAGCCUGAUGCAGCAACGCCGCGUGCGGGAUGACGGCCUUCGGGUUGUAAACCGCUUUCGCCUGUGACGAAGCGGGAGUGACGGUAAUGGGUAAAGAAGCACCGGCUAACUACGUG